GACGAACGCUGGCGGCGUGCUUAACACAUGCAAGUCGAACGGAAAGGCCCUGCUUUUGUGGGGUGCUCGAGUGGCGAAAGGGUGAGUAACACGUGAGUAACCUGCCCUGGACUUUGGGAUAACUUCAGGUAACUGGGGCUAAUACCGGAUAGGAGCUCCUGCUGCAUGGUGGGGGUUGGAAAGUUUCGGCGGUUGGGGAUGGACUCGCGGCUUAUCAGCUUGUUGGUGGGGUAGUGGCUUACCAAGGCUUUGACGGGUAGCCGGCCUGAGAGGGUGACCGGCCACAAUGGGACUGAGAUACGGCCCAGACUCCUACGGGAGGCAACAGUGGGGAAUAUUGCACAAUGGGCGGAAGCCUGAUGCAGCAACGCCGCGUGCGGGAUGACGGCCUUCGGGUUAUGAACCGCUUUCGCCUGUGACGAAGCGUGAGUGACGGUAAUGGGUAAAGAAGCACCGGCUAACUACGUG
rnacentral:rRNA from 1 species